rnacentral:rRNA from 1 species
GGUCCCGAGCGUUGUCCGGAUUUAUUGGGCGUAAAGCGAGCGCAGGCGGUUUAAUAAGUCUGAAGUUAAAGGCAGUGGCUUAACCAUUGUUCACUUUGGAAACUGUUAAACUUGAGUGCAGAAGGGGAGAGUGGAAUUCCAUGUGUAGCGGUGAAAUGCGUAGAUAUAUGGAGGAACACCGGUGGCGAAAGCGGCUCUCUGGUCUGUAACCGACGCUGAGGCUCGAAAGCGUGGGGAGCAAACAGGAUUAGAUACCCUGGUAGUCCACGCCGUAAACGAUGAGUGCUAGGUGUUAGGCCCUUUCCGGGGCUUAGUGCCGCAGCUAACGCAUUAAGCACUCCGCCUGGGGAGUACGACCGCAAGGUUGAAACUCAAAGGAAUUGACGGGGGCCCGCACAAGCGGAGGAACAUGUGGUUUAAUUCGAUGAUACGCGAGGAACCUUACCCGGGCUUGAAUUGCAGAGGAAGGAUUUGGAGACAAUGACGCCCUUCGGGGUCUCUGUGAAGGUGCUGCAUGGUUGUCGUCAGCUCGUGCCGUGAGGUGUCGGCUUAAGUGCCAUAACGAGCGCAACCCCUCUCCUUAGUUGCCAUCAGGUCAGGCUGGGCACUCUGGGGACACUGCCACCGUAAGGUGUGAGGAAGGUGGGGAUGACGUCAAAUCAGCACGGCCCUUACGUCCGGGGCUACACACGUGUUACAAUGGCAGGUACAGAGAGAUGGUGUUCUGCAAAGCGCAUCAAAUCCUUAAAGCCUGUCUCAGUUCGGACUGGGGUCUGCAACCCGACCCCACGAAG